UUUUUGGGGAUAUUUCAUUACAAAUUAUUUUGACAUUUUUUUAUAAAUAAGCAGAAAUUAUGGUAUACAUUUUAUUUUGAAGAAAAUCGAACUUUAUAAACUCAAGCUUUUGCACUAAAAUGCAAAAAGAAUGCUAUAUUAAGCACUAAGUGAAAGACAAGCCAUAUCUUUAAAAUGUCUUGGGGUAAAAAUUUUGAGAAAGGUUAUAUGAUAUAAGGAGAUAGCAUAUAUGAGUCAGGGUUUCAAAAUUGGCUUGAGUACUUGAUAGUUAUGCAGCUUCAGGUAAAUUAUAUAAAUCUGCUCAGCCUUCCAUGUCCUUCUAUUAAAAUGGGCCUACUGAGUUGAAAUCAGAAAUGAGAUUUCCUAUAUGAUGUGUGUAUAUGAAUGUUAUAUAUUUAUAUAUGCAAUGUAUUCAGAUAUUGAGUAUAUAGGUAACUUCCCCAGAGUUAAGCACAC
rnacentral:lncRNA from 1 species